rfam:Dictyostelium purpureum unplaced genomic scaffold DICPTscaffold_315, whole genome shotgun sequence.
GAAUUCCUUACAGCAAUAUAACAUUCAAAAUUUAACUCUGAAAUCUUGAAUUCUG